rnacentral:rRNA from 1 species
UUAAAAUGAGAGUUUGAUCCUGGCUCAGGAUGAACGCUGGCGGCGUGCCUAAUACAUGCAAGUCGAACGCUUUGUCUUUAACUGAUCUGACGAGCUUGCUCUGAUGUGAUUUUAUCUGACAAAGAGUGGCGAACGGGUGAGUAACACGUGGGUAACCUACCUCUUAGCAGGGGAUAACAUUUGGAAACAAGUGCUAAUACCGUAUAAUA